rnacentral:rRNA from 1 species
UAAGACGAACCGUCCAAACGUUAUUCGGAAUCACUGGGCUUAAAGGGUGCGUAGGCGGCGCGGAAAGUUGGGUGUGAAAUCCCUCGGCUUAACCGAGGAACUGCGCCCAAAACUACCGUGCUCGAGGGAGAUAGAGGUGAGCGGAACUUAGGGUGGAGCGGUGAAAUGCGUUGAUAUCCUAAGGAACACCGGUGGCGAAAGCGGCUCACUGGAUCUCUUCUGACGCUGAGGCACGAAAGCUAGGGUAGCGAACGGGAUUAGAUACCCCGGUAGUCCUAGCCGUAAACGAUGAACACUGGAUUGGAGGGUCCUCCAUAGCCUUCCAGUCGCAACGAAAGCGUUAAGUGUUCCGCCUGGGGAGUAUGGUCGCAAGGCUG